rnacentral:tRNA from 1 species
GGGAGUUUGGCCGAGUGGUUAAGGCGCUGUGUUUAGGUCAUAAGAAAGGCUUUAUGCCGCUUAUACCAUAAAUCCCGCAGUGGGAAACCGCGCAGGUUCGAAUCCUGCAGCUCUCA